AAACGCUUGAAGUCAGUCGCGUUCUCUGGGAUUCAGCCUUGCUUCUGCUUGGUGCAUUUCCUAGUCUACGGGCCAGCAUGAAUUUUGACCGGUGGAAAAAGAUUUGGGGAAUGUGGCACCUUCGGGUGUGUUAUAGCCCCUUGUCAUAUACAUCGGUUGGGAUUGGGGUCUUAGUGCACGCUUCGGUUGUGCUUUGAUGCUGGCGUAAUGGCUUUAAACGACCCG
rnacentral:rRNA from 1 species